rnacentral:misc_RNA from 1 species
GGGGAAAUUCAACAUUGAAGAUGAUUGCGAGACUAGAUUAUAUUCAGUACCUCUACCAUUCUCAGUUAAACCAUUUCUUGCUAACACUCCACCAACAACUGGAUUAGAUAGAAUUGGCUGUGCCAUGGAUGAUGGGAGGAGAGUAGGAACAUGGUUGCCAGUGGCUUCAUUUAGUGUCUGCCCCCUGGACUGUGAUUGAGAGAUCUGCAUCAGUGAUGAAUUAUUCUGACCACCCUGACUACCAUGGGCAUUAACUUGCAUAUUCAUGCUCCCAAGAGAUUGUGCUGAAUGGUGCAAA